rnacentral:lncRNA from 1 species
UAUACAUAUGAAAUUUGCAGGCCGUGGCACCUGUGUUCCAAGGUGGUGUCGUGGACGUUUAUCAGAAAUGACACGCUGCAAAACCUGGUCACAUCUUAAGGUCCGCUCACUGUGGCGACCUGAGAAGGACUGUUUAUUUUGAAUGUGAGGUUGGAUUAUAAGAUCUCCUGCCUCCUGUGUAUAUUUAAGCGAGAGUUUGAUGAAAGCAAUUCCCAGACUUCAGAGACAUCCUCCGGAAACAGCAGCCAAGAAGGGCCAAGUAAUGUACCAGGUGCUCUUGACUUUGAACACAUUGAAGAGCAAGCAGAAGGCAUCUUUGGAGGAAGGAAAGUAUAUUUUCAGUUACUGUUUCGUAGGUGGUUCUACAGUUGGGAAGGCUGCUCUUCCAGAGCUCUCAAAGGCCUUCUCUUUACUAUGUUAGUAAAUAUUUCAUCUCUGGGGUUAGGUUGUUUUGGUGCUAUCUUUGGAUCUCUUAGUAUUCAAGUCAGAGUUAUCUUUGUUUGCUUGAUUGGGAGGAGAGAGAGAGAGAGAGAGUGAGUGUGUCCCCUGCCUAGGACAGAAGUAAGUGUGUGUGUGUGUGUUUGUGUCUGUGUGUGUAUGUGUGUGUCCCACCUAGGACAGAAAGGAUUUAAGGAGAUUUCUCAACAUUACAAGAUUAUUUUUACAUAGUGAGGAAAUACAAUCAAAAGAAAGAAUAGAAAGAGAGAGCAGGCUCAAAACAGAGUGAAAUUAGUGAGAUCAUGUCCUUCUGCUGCUGCUGGGCUGCAGUUUUAUCCCUGAGCUCCUAAUGGGCUAUGCAACAAAUAAAGCAAAAUCUGUUCUUUCAUGAUUCUUGAUGCUGU